CGGGUGCUGUGAGGGCUGGAUGUGGGCAGUGUGGCGUUGCGCCAAGCUUCUGUUCCGGGGCAGGCGUGAUGAGCUGAGGUCUCAAAUUCACGUUGAGGUUCAAAGGCCGCUCUCAGCCCCCAGCAUCACCUCACACAGUGGUGCCCCCCUCCCCCCCACCAGGGAGCUGCUGUACCCCGGCAGACGUUGCAGCAAAGCAUUUUGGCGCCUGGUGGUUCCCACCGUUACAGCUGGCUGCGCGCUGGCACUUAGGGUUUAAAGCAGCUCGAGAGUAGGGCCCAUAAGAGCCUUGCCUGAGUGCAGGUCGUGCGGUGAUCAAACUUUCUGCCCAAGUCAGCAGGCUGCAGUCUCCCCUCGGUGGUGUGGAAUUGAUCUGACCCCACAACACGGGUGUUCCUGAGAGGAACCACGAGGACAUUCCCAGCCAAGAGAAGCAGGAAUGGUGGAGCUGGGGCCGGGCUGCUGUGCUGUUGCCAUGAGGUGCCCACAGAACGCUGCACUCAGGAAUUGUGCUUCCAGCACAGACAGAGGCUCCAAGGAGAGCAAACCCUGAAUUAAUGCCUUAUACAGCGGACAAAUGAGGUGGCAGUGGAGACCCAGCAGAAGAGAGACAUCAGGCUGCUGGAAUUCAGUAUAAAGUACAGUACAGUCUUCCAAAUGUCUGAAGAGAUGAAGCAGUGCAGUGGAAGCAAGGAAAAGCAGACACCACAGGUAAUUUCAUAUCUGUAUGCGUAUUCAUGAACUGCAGCGUUGAGUCAGAAGUAUCUCUGUUUUUUUUUGUGGUGUUUCAGAGCAAUCAUUUUCUUUUCAGCUCAUUCUGUAAUUCAGAGGUGUUGAAAUCUCUACUUGAAAUAAAAUUGGGAAACAAAAUGCACACAGCUGGGCCAAUUUUUUUUUAUUCUUCUUAUUUGACACUCACAUUACAAAAUUUAGAAACCAUAGACAGUUCAGGCAAACUGUUAAAACACAGUAUAAAUUAGGGGUUUUUAAUAUAUAAAUUCUAUACACAGGUAAGUUAGCUUGAACAUGAACUGACAAAAGGAUUUCAUAACAAUCUUACCACAACUGUAUAAAAAGGCAUGGGAAUAGGACUGGCACUAUAAUCAUGAAUGCGGGUUAAGACAUUUUCCACAACAGCUAUAAAGCAUAACAAUGACCAUGCUAUUCUUGCAGUGUUUAUGGGGGUACAGUAUGCAUUUUACCAUUAACAUUUUGCAAUAUCUAUGUACAGUCACAAAAUCAUAACAGCCACUUUCAAGUAACCUUACUGUUUUCUGCCUGCGCAGUUGAUAAAGCGUUGGUAAUUGCUUUGAGGACUUCCAACAAAUCUUUGUGGUUUGAGUAUUGUGGAGGGGAAAGGGAUUUCAGUUCAGCCUGAAAAUGAAAUAGUUUCAUUUAAAGAAAAAGCUGUGGAAAAAACACAGCCCCUCAUUACUAUUGUUCACACAAUCAGUACAUACCAGUCUUCUAAUCCAUAUUUCCUUUUAUCCUAGCUUACUCUUCCUUAAAAACUAAUUUAUUUCCAUUUUUUUUUUCCAAGCACAGUUGCAAAAAAGAAUAAUAAUAAUAGAUGAAACACAGAAGUUGCAGACAAUUUGGGGUAAUUUUUUGAAAGCACAUGUUUUCCAGGUAACCACCUGGACAUUUUUUUAAUUUCUCAGUCUGAAUGUAAGGACAGUUCUGUUUACCCAUUUUUAAGACUGCGAAUAAAUGUUUAGGAGUAAUAUGCUCUUAGGGUGUAGGUUUAAGAUAGCUGGUAUCGUCACAUUUCACAGAGCUUGCUAAAAGUGAAAAAAAAACAAAACUAAAAUCUGAUUCGUGAUUCUGUGAUUCUGAUUUCUCACUUUUAUAUACUGAUGAAUACUUGCUAAAAGUGUAGAGUUCUGAAAUUCAGAAGCCAAUUUAUUUUCCAUCUGUGUUGCGUACUGGCAGUUUUAUUUCAUUUUACAGGCUGACUCCUAAGGGAAGUACUUGCCUGUUUGUAAGAAUCGUAUCUUGAAACACAUCUAAUAGCUGUGUGCUCGUAUCUUUCACAAAGCUUUAAGAGUUCGGAGGAUUUUACUGGAACAAUUCCUUCUUCUUCAAGGUGAGGAUAUACUAUAAGCAGUAACCCAGCUUGGGCUGUUAUGAAAAUACAUCUCGUGUCAGCUGUCUAUUCUAUAGCCCCCAUUUUCUCGACUCUGUGUACUCAUAUGCCAAACAUCAGGAAACAAUCACACGCUUAGCUGUCCCCCAGAGAUGGGGAUUGUAGAAGCUGAAUUAAAUAAUGAAAGCAACGAUGCAAUACUGACCAGUCACAGCUCACUGAGGAAGUUGCAUUUCUCUAGAAGGUAGCUAUGUUCUGGGAUUUUCUGGUCACAGGUCCAUUAAAUAGGCUGUGCACAUUUCAGAAUGAAGUUUACUGUACAGGUAUUUAACUUACAGAACAUGUGAGUCCUGAACUUGAAGUCUUCUGCAUUCAGGAAGGCCUGGGAGCAAUGCUGCACUGCAGUUUUAGUCUGGGCUGGUAGUUCUGGUGCCAGGAAGGAAGGGAGAAGGGACUCCUAAAGUGACAGCUGUGAUAUACGAGUGCAGAGCCCAUGUAUGGCAGAGAACCAGAAAAAUAUUCCCAUGGCAUUUUGCAAGAGCUGUUUAUAGAGCAAAAUGCCAAUUCUGUGGAGGGAAAGGCAACAAGGGGAGAGAUGGCAGUCCAAGCCACUCCGAAUGUACAGCAUUACAGUCUGAGUUUGGCCACAGUGCAAGGCAAGGGAUCUAGACAAGUUAUCCAUAGUUAGCUUUGUUCUGUAACUGAGGUUAUAGCCUGAGUUUCAGUGUCUUGCACCUCUGCAGAGGGUAUGAAAUGCCACCCGUACAAGCUAUUAGCUUCUAAUAUACAUCUUGCAUAGUAUAAAAAUGCAGAAUGUGAUGCCUUCUGUGCGCACUGACAAUGUAGCUGAUAUUUUUUGCAUAUCUGAAAAUAUGCAAAAAGAGCUGUAAAAGAAAUAAAUACAAAACAGGUCUGCCUCCAGAUCUGUUCCACUGAAAAAAAAAAAGUAACUUGUUUGUUGCCACCCCUGCUCAGCUCAGGGACUACAGAGCAGCUAAUGUUGAUUAUAAAGAAAGGGAUACUCCAAGGCAGCGUGCUUCCUUUCCAACAUACCCAAUGUUAAAGUACUGGUACAGCUUGCUGCAUGCAUCACUAUAUGCCACUGUAUUCUCUCCUGCCUUGGCCUGCCCAGCUGCCAUUGAUAUUAAUAGGAAUAGCACAUGCACAGUUAUCUUUUCCCACUCUGCUGCCAUGCUGUGAAAUACAAAAGUUAACAACCGUCAAGGUGUUACUCAUAAUUUUUUAGUACUUAUUUUAUCAUGCUGCUAGGAUCUUAAAAUCUCUGUCAAUGAAGUAACAAAUUCUCCACCGUUUCCAGCCCUCUAGAGGAACUUUUAGUUCCAAGAAUUUUCUUGUAAUUAUUCUGUUGGAUGGAGGAUGAAAUACAUUUUGCCUCGGGUGAAUUUCCAGUAACGCCCCACCUUUCCAAAGCAUUGUAUCCCAGCUUCACAAACCUCAGGGCAUGGACAGGAAUUCACAUGACAGUUUGUACUGGACCAUCUAUCACUGCUGCACCCCACCAGUGUAUGCACUGCUGUAUGGAUACCAGGUAUGUUGAUGCUGUUCCCCAGACACAAUUCAGUAAUUCCCUGCACCAAAUACUGAGGUAAUCUCAUUUAACAGAUAACAUUAACAAAAAAGAAAAGAAUGUUUUUGGCCCACAGUUGAGCCUUUGAGAAGGGAGCAGGGAGCCUUGCCAUGCUUCCUCACCUCUUCCUAAUGCUAUUCUGCAGGUGCAACAAUGGAAAUACUCAGUUUACAAUCAAAGGGGUUUUAAUUUCUGAUAAAAGACACUCCUGAGACAGUAAGGCUGAUUUCUACUGCUUUCAAAAGAAAAAAGGUUUCAAAGCCAGAAGGCCAAAUUCUGCUCUCAGAUGUGAAUUAAUUCUCUGGAUCAAAUUCAGUCCUUGAAUUUGCUUCUGAAACUUCAGCAACAUCAGAGAAGACUUUUGCCAAGGCUGGAUUUUCACCCUAUUAAGUGCACCUGCCCAUCUGAGAGUUGCAACCAGCCCUAACAAAAGGCCAAGGACUAUUCAAAUUGCCAAUGUAAUUUAAUCCCUAUGAAUAACCUGGAGCAGUGCUACAGUUACAAUUGCAGGACUGCUCCAAAACCCAUCAAAAUCAAUUGGAGUUUUUCCCCUGGCACAUCACUGAACUUGAGUUUGGUCUCUCCUAUCAAACACAGUCAUUAUUAGGCCAGAUAUUGUAAGCAAAACAGUGUCUUUUCUACUGAAAACUCCAGUAUCUUUUCUUUUUGAUAACUCCAACUAUACAUUCAGUAACCUGAAUGCUGUUCUAAACUGGAUUUACCAUCGUGCAAACCAGUGCGUGUGUGCUUUAAGAAAAGGUGCAUAAACUAUUGCAAUAAAACAUGAUAGACUGACCAAGGGAUCAGUAAUGGGCAGGCGUGAUUGUAAGCAGGUGAUUAUGUUAUCAAUACUCACCACAUCAUAACAUACUUCCAAGCUAAAGAAAACAUCCCUAUGCUUGAACUGAUUCUAAUUCGAAGUGCCUUAGCAGCCGUGUCUGCACUGUGUUGAUCCCAGCACUGCUGAGAUCAUGGUUUGAUUCCAGACCUGCACGUCCUCUGUCUGCGUGGGGAGCUCCCACCAGCUUACAGCAGGACUGCCAGAGGGAUAAUGAUGUGCUGAGCAAGCGUGCCCUGGUGCGUGGGGUUCUUCUGGGUGAGACUCCAUGAGUUUUCUACCUUCCAAAUUCAGUCAUGGCCAGGAGAUCUAUGUUUAAUUAUCUAUCCACCUUUAAUGAGGUGAUGUGAUUCGUGUUGAUGUGAAAUUGAGGGCGAGACUGUAUGAUUAACUGUCUUUUGGAAGGCACUGAGCAAGUUCCUCUGCUGACUUCAACACAAGCUGAAGGCACACAACUCGUAUUUUGAUGAGCUUUGGAUCUAGCCCUAUGUUGCAGAAUGGCACUCUCAAAAAAUGAAAUAUAGGACUUGUGCUACCACUCUGAUUACACAAGAGGAGGUGCAGAAAUGAUUUAAUAUAUUUAGGUCUUUUCAAAUAUUGCUGUAUAGGCAGAAGCUAAGUUAAUGCUUCUGAAAGACUGUGUCAUCUCACUGGCUUAAGGUGUUAACACCCUAGGAUGAUCUGGGGCUUCUGAAAGUCCCACUAAAACUCCCAGCUCUAGUUUUGCUGUGUUCUCUGUGCUGCAUUAGCUCAUGCAGUGAUCCGGGAGGCAAAUUCACCAAAAAAUAGUGGUGGAAAGCCAUGGCAUAACUAACUGUAACUUGUCUUCGUGUUAGUCUAAUGAUUACAUGCCUUACAGUUACUUUGCAAGGUGCAUGCAGCAUUUCUGGAGAUCAUACACUGUUCUGUGCACUGGCAUCAAUAUGCCAUGCACCUCUGUGAAGCAUUAAUUACUUUAGUAUCCACCGAGAGAUGAGGAUGUUUAGCACCUUUGAAAAAAAAUCUUUUUAAAUGUGGGAUUAUAUAAAGGCUUAAAGAUGAUCUGGUGCUUCUGAAAGUCCCACUAAGCCCUUAAUACCUCCCUAAAUCUAACUUCAAUGCUUUCAUUUUAAGUAUUGGGGAUUGAAAAUUUUGGACUGUGAAUGUAAUUUAGUUUGCAGCAGUGAUAAAUGCUAUGAGACCAAAUUUUAACUCAUACUUACAAAAUUGCCUGAAUUCAUGGAAGGUACCAAGGAUGUAAAAUAUCAUGAGAAAUGAAAAUUCGAUUCAUCUUUGGGAGUUAUCACCUCAGCUGUACCGGCCUCUAUUGAUCACUGGAAAAUGAUCAUUUGCACUUAAAAAAGCAGUUUUAGGGAAGGGCCCAUCCACCCACAGUGGGUUUCAGAUAACUAAAAAACCUGUUCUGCCAUGAAGCCUGUUAAAAAGAUGCAGACGUUACAAAAAAAAAAACAACAAACCAACAAAAAACCAUUUAGCAAAUGCUUACAUGAAACACAUGUAAGCAUUGCCAUUGUUUAUGGAUAUGUUUAUGGUUAUUGCUCUGGAUUUGGUUGGAAUUAAACAAUUUUUUAAUGGCAUCAUUUUGGAAAUGGUUCUGCUGGAAGCAGUGGCUAUGUGUGUAUGUUUCCCUGUAUAGCUCUCAGCUCAUGGACAAAAAUUAACAAACAGUAUAUCAACAGUAUCACCGGAAUAAUUGCUCCCUGGCUGGAAGGAUGCCAUCCCAUCCUCACACUUAGUUCUUCCAUACAGAGCCCAAGUACAGACAUGACAUUUUUAUGUUCCCCCUGGUUGAACUUGUGUGCUCGUAGAUAAAUGAAGAGGAGAAUCAGCGCUCUCCAUCACAUCCCUGUGUACAUACAUCUAGAAGAAGCUGUCCUGAACAGCUCAGCCAGCUGCAGGAGUGGAUGCCAUGUGGCCACGAUCCAGAUUGCACAGGUUUCCACAGAUCAAAACCCAACCUAAGAACUGCGCUGGAGAAAUCAAGCGUUAGUAUACGACACACAGCAUGUCUCAGGCCAUUGUUCUCAAGAUCAGCUCAGCUGCCUGGGCUGCCAUCAAAUACUGCCUCACCAAUGCCUCAUAUUUCAACACCUCACUCAGGCAUGCAGAACCUUUGUGAGGUCUGGCAGUGGGCAGGAGCAGUUUCAGCUUUCUGUCUGAACGUGCAGGCCAGUACAGCCAGCUUUCAUGAUUAGCUUCAGUUUUCCAAACCCUAUGGCCAUUUGGAAUCACUCUAAAUUGAAAUAUAGCAGUUAAUGAUUUCAAAGAAAGUUUUAUGUCCUGCUAUUAGACAGAGUGGAACAUCUGAAAGGUCAGCAUCAGGUCAGUAAUAAAGCAAAGUAUCAUAUGGCAUUUAGGUCUCAGCUAAGCUUUUUGAGGUUUUUUGGGGGGCAAGUAGGAACAGCCCUUCCACAUACAUACAGUCCUUCCACACACAAACUCUUCUGGCUUUUGACUCUAACAUCCACAUAGUUCAUUAUCACUUAUUAUAUAUGUUAAAAUAGCACCAUGAUCACUGUACAAGUUUAAAAAGACGUAGUCCCUGCUUGCUAUUACCUGUAAGGAAGUGGUAGAUACUGUUUAGAACCUAAAAACUAAAGAGGAAGAAAAUGGUUAUCUGCUAAUGAAUGACAGAUUUUAUACUUGAGUGCAUUCAUUCUAGCCUGAAAACCUUUGUCUUUUUAAAUAAAUUACCCUUUGUCUUAUAGAGCAAUUACUUCAUCCUUCCUAUCCUCUUAGUAUCAAAUUGCAAAAUAAACAGUACUGUAUAAUACUGUAUAAUAAUGCAGUACCCUUUUUCUAUAAGUGUGAUAAAGCCCUCUAAAGGAUGCACCUCAGCAGGAACGAAAUUAGGGAAUAGGCUAUGCACAUUAAAUAGAGGUAAACUGAGUCCAUCUUCUUCAGUUCAGCUUUAAAUGUUGGGUGUGUGGGGUCUUUAAAGACUACCAUAUACAACCUCCUCAGAUCUGCCAACAUUCACAGUAAGAAAAACAACAGCAGAGGCAGGAAUAGUAACUAAGCAAUAGUCAUACUUCAGAUUGUUCUCUGUAAAAAUUCAUGGGAUUUGCACAGCUCUCCCAUGCUGAUGUGAUCUGUAUGUGACAUACAUGGAUAUCUAUGAGCGAGUGAUGUCAUUUUCAUCCACUGGAAGCUUAUACCUGUUGCAGUCAGUGCUUUGUUCAACAAGGCUGGGAGACUGCUAAUGUUAGAUUAAGUUCUUCUUUCUUCAUUCAGCAAUUAACCAGAUUGCUGCU